AUCCCUGUUGCUCGAUGCAUAGCGCGUUUGAACUCUAAUUAAAAGGUCGUGUGUUCGAAUCCCACCUGGGAUG